GCGCCUGUAGCUCAGCUGGAUUAGAGCGGCUGCCUACGAAGCAGUAGGUCGGGCGUUCGAAUCGCCCCAGGCGCG
rnacentral:tRNA from 1 species